UAGAGUNUCGGAGAGGAAAGUGGAAUUCCUAGUGUAGCGGUGAAAUGCGUAGAUAUUAGGAAGAACNCCAGUGGCGAAGGCGACUUUCUGGACGAAAACUGACGCUGAGGCGCGAAAGCCAGGGGAGCGAACGGGAUUAGAUACCCCGGUAGUCCUGGCCGUAAACGAUGGGUACUAGGUGUAGGAGGUAUCGACCCCUUCUGUGCCGGAGUUAACGCAAUAAGUACCCCGCCUGGGGAGUACGACCGCAAGGUUGAAACUCAAAGGAAUUGACGGGGGCCCGCACAAGCGGUGGAGUAUGUGGUUUAAUUCGACGCAACGCGAAGAACCUUACCAGGUCUUGACAUUGAUGGACAGAACCAGAGAUGGUUCCUCUUCUUCGGAAGCCAGAAAACAGGUGGUGCACGGUUGUCGUCAGCUCGUGUCGUGAGAUGUUGGGUUANNNNNNNNNANNNANCGCAACCCCUAUCUUAUGUUGCCAGCACUUUGGGUGGGGACUCAUGAGAGACUGCCGCAGACAAUGCGGAGGAAGGCGGGGAUGACGUCAAAUCAUCAUGCCCCUUAUGACCUGGGCUACACACGUACUACAAUGGGAGUUAAUAGACGGAAGCGAGAUCGCGAGAUGGAGCAAACCCGAGAAACACUCUCUCAGUUCGGAUCGUAGGCU
rnacentral:rRNA from 1 species